UACGAGUGCCCCAAGCGUUAUCCGGAAUUAUUGGGCGUAAAGAGCUCGUAGGCGGUUUGUCGCGUCUGCCGUGAAAGUCCGGGGCUCAACUCCGGAUCUGCGGUGGGUACGGGCAGACUAGAGUGCAGUAGGGGAGACUGGAAUUCCUGGUGUAGCGGUGAAAUGCGCAGAUAUCAGGAGGAACACCGAUGGCGAAGGCAGGUCUCUGGGCUGUAACUGACGCUGAGGAGCGAAAGCAUGGGGAGCGAACAGG
rnacentral:rRNA from 1 species